UACAGGAGGGGGCAAGCGUUGUUCGGAAUUACUGGGCGUAAAGGGCGCGUAGGCGGCCUGUUAAGUCGAACGUGAAAUCCCCGGGCUCAACCCGGGAACUGCGUCCGAUACUGGCAGGCUUGAAUCCGGGAGAGGUGAGUGGAACUGCGAGUGUAGAGGUGAAAUUCGUAGAUAUUCGCAAGAACACCAGUGGCGAAGGCGGCUCACUGGCCCGGUACUGACGCUGAGACGCGAAAGCGUGGGGAGCAAACAGG
rnacentral:rRNA from 1 species